GGAUGAGAACAGGCGGAGGACAGUGGCGGACGGGUGAGUACCACAUGGGCAAUCUACCAUCAAGUUGAGGAUAACCUGCCGAAAGGCGGACUAAUACUGAAUAUGAUCGUGUCGCACAUGCGACACUGUUCAAAGGCGGGGAUCCGCAAGGACCUGUCGCUUGAUGAUGAGCCCGUGUCCCAUCAGCUAGUUGGUGAGGUAACGGCCCACCAAGGCUUACGGGUAGCUGGUCUGAGAGGAUGGUCAGCCACACUGGGACUGAGACACUGCCCAGACUCCUACGGGAGGCUGCAGUCGAGGAUCAUUUGCAAUGCGCGAAAGCGUGACAAUGCGACGCUGCGUGGAGGAUGAAGGCCUUCGGGUUGUAAACUCCUGUCAGCCGGGAACAAGGCAAGGGGAUUAAUAAUCCAGCUUGCUUGAUGGUACCGGCGGAGGAAGCCACGGCUAACUCUGUGCCAGCAGCCGCGGUGAUACAGAGGUGGCAAGCGUUGUUCGGAUUUACUGGGCGUAAAGGAUGCGUAGGCAGUUCCGUAUGUCGGAUGUGAAAGCUCACCGCCCAACGGUGAAAGUGCAUUCGAAACUGUGGAACUAGGGUACAGGAGAGGAGAGCGGAAUUCUCGGUGUAGCGGUGAAAUGCGUAGAGAUCGAGAAGAACACCGGUGGCGAAGGCGGCUCUCUAGACUGAUACCGACGCUGAGGCAUGAAAGCUGGGGGAGCAAACAGGAUUAGAUACCCUGGUAGUCCCAGCCUUAAACGGUGUACACUUGGUGUGGGAGGAAUUGACCCCUCCCGUGCCGUAGCUAACGCGUUAAGUGUACCGCCUGGGGAGUACGGCCGCAAGGUUAAAACUCAAAGAAAUUGACGGGGGCCCGCACAAGCGGAGGAGCAUGUGGCUUAAUUCGAUGCAACGCGAAGAACCUUACCAGGGCUUGACAUGCAGGGAUAACUUUGGCGAAAGUCAGAGGAUUGCCGUAAGGUGUAACCUGCACAGGUGCUGCAUGGCUGUCGUCAGUUCGUGCCGUGAGGUGUUGGGUUAAGUCCCGCAACGAACGCAACCCUUGUGUUUAGUUGCCACAUCGGUGAUGAGCCGGUGAGCACUCUAAACAGACUGCCCAUGUUAAGUGGGAGGAAGGUGGGGAUGACGUCAAGUCAGUAUGGCCUUUAUGUCCUGGGCUGCACACGUGCUACAAUGGUCGGUACAGAGGGAUGCCAGACCGCAAGGUGGAGCAAAUCCCCCAAAACCGGCCUCAGUACGGAUUGGAGUCUGCAACCCGACUCCAUGAAGUUGGAUUCGCUAGUAACGGCGCAUCAGCUACGGCGCCGUGAAUACGUUCCCGGGCCUUGUACACACCGCCCGUCACAUAG
rnacentral:rRNA from 1 species